rnacentral:rRNA from 1 species
AUUGAACGCUGGCGGCAUGCUUUACACAUGCAAGUCGAACGGUAACAGGCCGCAAGGUGCUGACGAGUGGCGAACGGGUGAGUAAUGCAUCGGAACGUGCCCAGUCGUGGGGGAUAACGCAGCGAAAGCUGCGCUAAUACCGCAUACGAUCUAUGGAUGAAAGCGGGGGACCGUAAGGCCUCGCGCGAUUGGAGCGGCCGAUGUCAGAUUAGGUAGUUGGUGGGGUAAAGGCUCACCAAGCCAACGAUCUGUAGCUGGUCUGAGAGGACGACCAGCCACACUGGGACUGAGACACGGCCCAGACUCCUACGGGAGGCAGCAGUGGGGAAUUUUGGACAAUGGGCGCAAGCCUGAUCCAGCAAUGCCGCGAGCAGGAAGAAGGCCUUCGGGUUGUAAACUGCUUUUGUACGGAACGAAAAGGCUUUGGUUAAUACCUGGGGCUCAUGACGGUACCGUAAGAAUAAGCACCGGCUAACUACGUGCCAGCAGCCGCGGUAACAC